GGUGGCAGAGGUUGCGGUGAGCCAAGAUGGCACCACUGCACUCCAGCCUAAGCAACAGAGUGAGCCUCUGUCUCAAAAAAAAAAAAAAAAAAGGCCGGGCGCGGUGGCUCACGCCUGUAAUCCCAGCACUUUGGGAGGCCGAGGCGGGUGGAUCAUGAGGUCAGGAGAUCGAGACCAUCCUGGCUAACAAGGUGAAACCCCGUCUCUACUAAAAAUACAAAAAAUUAGCCGUGCGCAGUGGCGGGCGCCUGUAGCCCCAGCUACUCGGGAGGCUGACGCAGGAGAACGGCGUGAACCCGGGAAGCGGAGCUUGCAGUGAGCCGAGAUUGCGCCACUGCAGUCCGCAGUCCGGCCUGGGCGACAGAGCAAGACUCCGUCUCAAAAAAAAAAAAAAAAAAAAAAAAAAAUGUGGGAGAGUAUUCCAGAGGCAGAAAACUUAGUUGGCCCAGGACACAAAGGGAUUUGGUCUCGUUGAAAGGUGAUCAGGGAUGGUGAUUUGCAGGUUGUGUCCACUUGGAUUCUUGGUGCAUGAUGAAAGUCUCCCCCAAACACAAUCGUAACCCAGCUCUGCAUUUUGGUUCAAUCUUGAGGCACCCAGGGAGGACACUUGGAAGGAAAGCAUCCACCUUGGUCUGUUUCUCUUGUGUGAGCUCAGCUCUCCCAGGUGUCAUAGUGGGCACGGCCUCGAGGGGGCAGUGUCCACUCAGAGAUGUGCCCAACUGCCCUGGGAAGCAAGCCCUGGGAGGGCCUUGUUGGAAAGGUUCCAGCCUGCCAGGCCAGAUUCACGAAGGCUGAAUCCUCAGAACACAUAGAAGAGGGGGUUCUCUGGCAGCACCCCUCUCAGGAGUUUGAAGCAACCAGGGGCAGUAAGGAGCAAGCAGCUGCGAGAUGUGGAUUCCUCAGGCCGUGCCCCCAUGUGCUGGAAAACAGGUGGCAGAGGUUACUCUGCCUGGUGUGUACACAUACAUGGUUUGUUUGAUCAUAUCCGGUAUAAACCCUACUCGAAAAUAUUUGUCAUCCGGCACCUACGGAGUUCAAAAUACUAACACAGUACAGCCUGCACUGUUGUCCCUGGGGACUGAAAGGGGUCAUUUUUGGGUGGCCUGACAGAAAUGUGUCACAGAGCAGUGUCGCCAAAUAGUGCCCCACUCUAGUUUUGCUCAGAAGGGGCCACAUCAGCUGGGCAGGGUGUGGUGGCUCAUGCCUAUAAUCCUAGCAUUUUGGGAGGCCAAAGCAGGACAAUCAAUUGAGCCCAGGAGUUUGAGACCACCUUGGCAACAUAGUGAGACCUAUCCUCCACAAAAAAUUUUAAAAACAGCCAAACAUGGGCCGGGCACGGUGGCUCACGCCUGUAAUCCCAGCACUUUGGGAGGCCGAGGUGGGCGGAUCAUGAGGUCAGGAGAUCGACACCAUCCUGGCUAACACGGUGAAACCCCGUCUCUAUUAAAAGUACAAAAAAUUAGCCGGGCGUGGUGGCGGGCGCCUGUAGUCCCAGCUACUCGGCAGGCUGAGGCAGGAGAAUGGCGUGAACCCGGGAGGCGGGGCUUGCAGUGAGCCGAAUUGCGCCACUGCACUCCAGCCUGUGCGACAGUGCAAGACUCCGUCUCAAAAAAAAGAAAAAAAAAAACAAAGCCAAGCAUGGUGGUACCCAGCUACUCAGGAGGUUGAAGUGGGAGGAUCGAUCCAGCUCAGGAGGUCAAGGCUACCAUGAACCAUGAUCACACAUUGCACUCUAGCAUGGGUGAUAGAGUGAGGCCCUGUCUUGAAAAAAAGGAGGGGCCGCUUGGGGAGAGAGGGAAGGGAGGAAGCCCAGGCCAAGGGCCCAGUGCCUCUGUGGUUGGGGCUAAGGGAUGUUGGGGCCCCCAACCCUGAUUCUUCGGAGGAAUUGGGAGGAAAGCUCCAGGUUCCACGUCAUGUGGAUGGGCCUGAGAAUGAGGUGAAAGGUAACAAUCACACACCCAAACCAGUUAUGAGCCAAAGGUUUCACCAGAUAAGGGAUUGAUGGCCACAAUCACCAGCACAUAUGCAAUUCUGUGGGUCAGACAGGGAGCUGAGUCACCAUGCCCCGCAGUAUCUCAUUGACUGCCCCCAACAACAGAGAGUGGUUGAGAGUCCCCAUUUCCAAAUGGAGCAAACUGAGGCUCAGGGGGAUGCAGAUAAGUAGCGAAGCUAUCUGAUUCCAGAACCUGGCUGAGUAGCCACAGUGUGCUGCCUGCCUCCCCAGUGGAGCCUCUUGAGUCUCUUAUCUGAGGUCGGGCAUUACUAAAACAGGAAUCGGAACUUGAACCCAGCACUCUCCAAGCCCUUAAGCCUCAGGUCUUAACCACAGAGCCCUGCUAUGUUUGUUGUAUGUUGUAUCUGCCCAGGGCCCUGACCUAGCGGCCAGGUCAGUGGCCAGAAAUGAUCAGCCUCUGCCUUGGACUUGGCCUGGGCCCCUCCUUCCUGGUUCCUGUAGGUAGCCUGCUCGGCUUCCUUCCCAGUGAGCCUCCCAUUCCUAACAUCAGCAAUUCUGGACAGGAGUAAAGUCCCUCUUGACCUUUGACUCCUUCAGCUUCUCAUGUUCAUCCCACAAUCCCAAAAGUUCUUGGCGGAAUAAUCAUUAUAGCAGCUAAUGAGCACAUUCUAACUUGGAGAACAUUCUCUGUGCCAGACCCUGAGCCUAAUGCUCUGCCUAUCACAUGUGUUCCUCAUGGCCACCCUGAGAGGUAGGUAGAGUUGUCCCCAUUAUCCAAAUGAGGUAAAUGAGGCUCAGAGAGGUUAAGUCACUUUCCCAAGGAAGCACAGAGAAGGAGCAGACUCAGAGUUUGAAGGGGUUUCAAACACUUGCUCUUUAAAGGCCAGGUACUAAUUCCCAAACUUCUGAGUAUCACAAUUAUCUGAGGGGGAUGUUUUGUUUUGUUUUGUUUUGGAGACAAGGUCUUGUCUUGUCUCUGUUACCCAGCUGGAGUGCAGUGGUGUGAUCAGGGCUUACUACAGCCUCAAC
rnacentral:lncRNA from 1 species